UGAAGAGUUUGAUCCUGGCUCAGAUUGAACGCUGGCGGCAUGCCUAACACAUGCAAGUCGAACGGUAACAUGAGAGCUUGCUCUUGAUGACGAGUGGCGCACGGGUGCGUAACGCGUAUGCAACCUACCCUUUACUGGAGGAUAGCCCGAAGAAAUUCGGAUUAAUACUCCAUGGUAUCAUAAAACAGCAUUGUUUAAUGAUUAAAGAUUUAUUGGUAAAGGAUGGGCAUGCGUGACAUUAGUUUGUUGGUGAGGUAACGGCUCACCAAGACUAUGACGCCUAGCUGGUCUGAG
rnacentral:rRNA from 1 species